rnacentral:rRNA from 1 species
UACGUAGGGAGCAAGCGUUGUCCGGAAUCAUUGGGCGUAAAGCGCGCGUAGGCGGCCCUGUAAGUCCGUUGUGAAAGUCAAAGGCUCAACCUUUGAAAGCCGAUGGAUACUGCAGGGCUAGAGUCCGGAAGAGGCGAGUGGAAUUCCUGGUGUAGCGGUGGAAUGCGCAGAUAUCAGGAGGAACACCAAUAGCGAAGGCAGCUCCGCUGGGACGGUAGCUGACGCUA